GAUAAACGCUAGCGGCAGGCUUAACACAUGCAAGUCGAGGGGCAGCAUAGAUUGUAGCAAUAUAAUUGGUGGCGACCGGCGCACGGGUGCGUAACGCGUAUGCAACCUACCCGUCACAGGGGGAUAAUCCGGAGAAAUCUGGUCUAAUACCCCAUAACAUAUGGAUCGGCAUCGGUUCAUGUUGAAAUUUUCGGAGGUGACGGAUGGGCAUGCGUAGCAUUAGCUUGUUGGUGAGGUAACGGCUCACCAAGGCGACGAUGCUUAGGGGGACUGAGAGGGUUUCCCCCCACACUGGUACUGAGACACGGACCGGACUCCUACGGGAGGCAGCAGUGAGGAAUAUUGGUCAAUGGGCGCAAGCCUGAACCAGCCAUGCCGCGUGCAGGAUGACGGCUCUAUGAGUUGUAAACUGCUUUUGUACGAGGGUAAAGUGGGUUACGUGUAACCUUUUGAAAGUAUCGUACGAAUAAGGAUCGGCUAACUCCGUGCCAGCCGCCGCAGUAA
rnacentral:rRNA from 1 species